ACUAUGUGCCAUGCUGAAUCUGCAUCUGUCCCUGACCAUGAAGUGACCUGAUGGCAGAGCAGAGAGCAGAUUCUUCUCUUCGUCAUCUGUUUGAUCAGGUUGUCACUGAGGAAGAGAGUGUGGCCAGUGGGUACGUGUUGAAGGAUGGAUUGUUGGUAUGGAAAUGGUUGGUACAUGGGGAGGAUUUUGUUGGUGGUCCACUCUGGCAGACUGUUGUUCCCUCUAACUUUCGCAGUGAAGUGUUGCGGGCUUCCCAUGAUCAAUCAGGGCAUUUGGGGGUCCACAAGACUUAUAAUUAUAUCCUGCUUUAUUUUGUCUGGCCUUAGUUAAAAAAAGAUGUCUGAAUAUAUCAAAACCUGCUAUACAUGUCAGAUGGCAGGGAAGCCAAACCAGAACAUUAAGCCGUUCCCUUGUAUCCAAUUCCGGGAAUUAUGCAACCCUUUGAACAUCUCAUUAUUGAUUGUGUUGGUCCUUUGCCUCAGUCUAAGGCUGGGAGUAAUUAUUUGUUGACAGUAAUGUGUCAGACAAUAAGAAAUCCAGAUGAGUAUCCACUCCGUACUAUUACUGCUAGGUCUGUGGUGAAGGCUCUGACCCAGUUUAUUUCUAUUUUUGGUAUUCCAAAAGUUAUCAA